UGUCGGUAUCGGACGCCAAGGGCCGUAACAAAAUGGCGGUGUUUGACGAGUUGGGGGAACGGUCUGUGAGAGCCGUGUGGAGGCAAUCCCAGACCACUUUUUAUUUCAAUAUUAAUUACAGCCACU